GGAAGCGGAAGUGCGCGGCGGCUGCGACGGGCCGAGGUUUGUGCGGGCGCGUCUCCGGCUGUGCUGGCGCAUCUCUAGAUCCUUUCCAGGAGGUCAGUUAUGGGUGUGAGAGGCUUACAUGGAUUUGUGGGAAGUAGCUGCCCACAUAUAUGUAUGGUAGUAAAUUUCAAAGAGCUGGCAGAGCACCACCGAAGCAGGCAUCCUGGAGGGACUCCUACCAUUGUGGUCGACGCCAUGUGUUGCCUCAGAUACUGGUACACGCCGGAAUCUUGGAUCUGUGGUGGCCAGUGGCGGGAAUACUUUUCUUCUUUGCGAGAAUUUGUGAAAACUUUUACAGCUGUUGGCAUCAAGUUGAUAUUCUUCUUUGAUGGCAUGGUGGAGCAGUCCAAGAGAGACGAGUGGGUGAAACGAAGACUCAAGAACAACAGGGAGAUAGCCAAGAUCUUCCAUUAUAUCAAGUCCCACAGGGAGCAGCCUGGCAGAAACAUGUUCUUCAUCCCCUCAGGGCUGGCCAUAUUCACCCAGUUUGCCUUGAAGGCCCUGGGUCAGGAAACUCUGUGUUCGUUACAGGAGGCCGACUAUGAGGUGGCUUCCUACGGCCUCCGGAACAACUGUCUUGGGAUUCUUGGAGAAGACACUGACUAUUUAAUUUAUGACACCUGUCCCUACUUUUCCAUCAGUGAGCUCUCCCUGGACAGUCUGGACACCGUCAUGCUCUGCCGAGAGAAGCUCUGUCAGAGCCUGGGUCUCAGCCUGUCCGACCUUCCUCUACUGGCCUGCCUGCUUGGCAACGACAUCAUCCCAGAAGGCAUGUUCGAAAGCUUUCGUUACAAGUGCUUGUCUUCUUAUACCUCUGUGAAAGAGAACUUUGACAAAAAAGGUAACAUUAUCUUAGCUGUAGCAGACCACAUAUGUAAAGUUCUUCGGUUGCAUCAAGGUGAGAAGAAGCUGGAAGAGAUGUUACCUUUGGGGCCAAACAAAGCUCUUUUUUAUAAAGGAAUGGCAUCAUAUCUUUUGCCAGGACAGAAAUCUCCAUGGUUUUUCCAAAAACCUAAAGGUGUAGUAACUUUGGACAAGCAGGUACUAUCCAUGAGUUCAGAUCCUAAAUCCAAGCAAGAAGUUCCCGUGUGUACACACCCUGAAUCCAAGCAAGAAGUUCCCAUGUGUACAGACCCUGAAUCCAAGCAAGAAGUUCCUUUGUGUACACACCCUGAAUCCAAACAAGAGGUUCCCAUGUACACAGACCCUGAAUCCAAACAAGAAGUUCCCAUGUGUACACACCCUGAAUCCAAGGAAGAAGUUCCCAUGUACACCGACCCUGAAUCCAAGCAAGAAGUUCCCUUAUGUACACACCCUGAAUCCAGGCAGGAAGUUCUCUUAUGCACACACCCUGAAUCCAAGCAGAAAUUACCUGUAGGUAUGGACCCUGAAUUUAACCUAGAAGCACCGCUGUGUACAAACCCUGAAAUUAAACAAGAAGAUCCUGUAAAUAUGGGGCCUGAAGUCAAGCAACAAAUAACUAUGGUUUCGGAUCCUGAAAUCUUAAAGGUUGCCAGAGCACAUCACGUCCAGGCAGAGAGCUACCUGGUGUACAACGUCAUGAGCAGUGGGGAGGUCGAAUGCAGCAACAGCCUGGAGGACGCGAUGGACCAAGCUCUGCCCAGCCAAGCCUUCGUCUACCGCCCAGUGCGGCAGCGGGUGUACUCCCUCUUGCUGGGGGAUGGCAGAGGUGGUGCCAGCACCUGCCCCACUGUCAAGGAGUGGUUUGUGUACUCUGGGAACCCACUGAGGCAGCCGGACCUCGUCAGGCCUCUGCAGAUGAACAUUCCAGGGGGAACGCCUAGUUUGAAGCUCCUGUGGCUGGGCCAAGAGGCAGGACUACAGGCCCAGCGCUUGGACACACUUCUGGCCUGUUUUGACCUUUCCUUCUCGCGAGAAGAGCUGCAGGUGGUCGAGAGCCCCUUUCAAGCGUUGUGCUGCCUCCUGAUCUACCUCUUUGUGCAGGUGGACACCCUCUGUCUGGAGGAUCUGCACGCCUUCAUCGCACAGGCCCUGUGCCUCGAAGGAAAGACCACCAUGGAGCUUGCAGACUUGCAGCUCGACCACGUCGACCCCAGGGCCGUGCAGCUGGGUACCCUCCUGGUCCGCGGCCUCACCACCCUGGUGCUGGUCAACAGUGCCUGUGGCUUCCCCUGGAAGACGUCGGACUUCAUGCCCUGGAAUUUGUUCGACGGGAAGCUGUUUCAUCAGAAGUACCUGCAGUCUGAGAAAGGGUACACAGCAGAGGCGCUUGUGGAACAAAACAGGUCCCGGCUCACCCGACUCCAUGCCCUGAAGUCAGUCGUGUGCAAGGCCUGCAUGAAGGAGGACAGACCCAUCGUCAGCCGGCGGCACUGGCGUUCACACCACUCAGCACCGCACAGGCUCUCAGUGGCAGAGCCCAGCCCCUUGGCCCCAGCCCGGCGUCCUUCGGUCACCUGCCCCCAGCCGCUGUCGCCUCCUCCUGGGACGAGCUGGGCGGAGGGGCCGACAGGGACCCAGCGCCCACAGGACGAGCUCUGGGUACAGCCGGUCUGGCCAAGGACAGCACUGGAGGGACCAGGGGCCAGUUGGUGCAGGAAGUAGACAGUAUGACCCUGACCAAUGGAGAAGAUAUUAAUCAUCUUCUGGGCAGCGGGUAGAGAAGGGAGCCAGGAAGACAAGGCGGAGCUGAAGACACUCACGGAAAACCACCUGCGACAUGUCGCCCAGAACCACCACUGCAGCUUCACCCCGAAUACAAGUAUCGCCCUAACAGUACUGUUUAGCAGUGUUGUCUGAGCAUCUGGGUUUUGCCCCCGUGGCUCGGACGUGCAUGGAGACUUCGGCUGUCCAACAAGUUUUCCCAGAACAAGCAAACUACAGGAGAACCUCAGACCAGACGCAGAGGAGCAGGGCCUGUGGUGCUGAGUCCCCUCCUGCCAGUGGAGGGCUGCCCUGGGCCGCCCGACCGGACGCCGGUGCUUGUGGGCAGUUCAGGCCAAGAUGUGGACAGGGGUUCAGGGAUCUGCUUCCCAACCCACCAGCCAGGAGAAAAGGACUAAGUGACCGUGCCUGAAUACAUGCUGUGAUCCUCAGUAACAGAAUGAUCUGGGCAGUUCCGAGGCGUGUCAGUCCCUCUCAUGCCUCCCCCGCCAGCCAGACCCCGCCCAGCUUGCAGCCGUCCUGCUGCUUCCGCGGGAGUAAGGAGACCCAGAGGGCUGGGGUCAGACAAGCUGAGCAAAACCCAGGUGCCCCUGAAUCUCCCUGAGCCUCAAUUUCCUCACCCAUAAAAUGGGGGCGUCCUUUCCAGGAGGUGGGGCUGAGUCAGAGGAGGCUGUGCUCACCUCCAGCAGGUGCCGGUCGCCUCUCCGUCCUCUCUGUGUGCGUCUCUGCCCCGUCUCUCUGUCUCUCUCUGUCUCUCUCUCUGUCUGUGUCUUUCUCUGCCUCUGUCUCUGCUUCCACCCCUAACAGUCAUGUCCUGGCUACCUGGCCUCAACGCUAAGCCCUGGACGUCCAGAAGACGCACACAGGAGCCCCUGCAGUGCUCACUGCCCUUCUUAAGUCACUCCUAGUUCAAGGGUAGCGUUUGAAUGUGCCCUUGGCCCGAGAGGCAGAAGGCCCAGGGGGCUGAUGGGAAACUGAGGGGACGGCCAGCUUCUCUGCAGGAGUUGGAACUUGAGACAGACAGGCAGCAGGAACUGAGCCGCUGGCAGCUGAAGCCAAAGCCAGAAGACACACAGAGAACAGUCCUUGGCUCUCCCAGGAUCUCGUCUCCUUCAAAGCGGCCACACAAACUAGCUUGACGAGCUAAUCCCAAAACCUGAAAGAAAUGAGGCACCAUUGAAAGCAGUCAGGCAGAUGUCACCUAGACAAUGGCUCUCCCUCCCCUCUGCACAGAAGGCUGAUGUGGAAACUGAGGCACAGACAGGGCAGCACCAGGAGUCUCGCCCUGCGUUCCCACUUCACAGCCUGAACUCCUAACCACCACUGUCCUUUGCAGUUUUCAGGGAAGUGUCAGAAGCUAAGAGAUCUGUAACAUUUUAGGCUUUGGGGUCAGAUGCAAUCUCUUCGCCUCUCCAGCUACGGUGACUGUGGGGAAGGAUUUACCCUCUCCGAGUCCCAGGCUCCUCAUCUGUGUGACAAAGUAGGGCUACUGUCAGGAUUAAAUGGCAUGAAUUCUGUUACAGAAGACGCGGCCCUCCUGUCAGAGCCGAGCCUCCAGGCUGAGGGGGGCUGGUGAGGGGGUGGUCUGAGGAUUGCUCCUUGGGCAGGAGUUUUCCUUUGUCCCCUCGGUUGCCACCCUCCUACCUCUACCCCACGGAGUGCUUUCUGAUGGUUCUGGAAGCCCUCCUGCCUACCCAUUUCUGUCCAGGGCGACUCCCCAGCUUGUGUCUGCUGGUUCCCAGUGUGGCUUCACAUUCAUGACAUAGAAUCACAAAGUCCCCUCAAAACCCGUGUUCUCGAAGGAGCGGAGGGUCAGAGGCCUGAAGUGGUCUGUCCCGUGCCACAGGCUGUGCGGUACAGACGGUCACCGGUCAAGCAGGGGCUGGAUCCACUCAUUCACCAAAACCACUUGCUGUGCACCCUGAGGGCCAGGCACCUGUCCAAGCGUGCAAGACGUGUGAAGCUUUGCCCUCCUGGCUGCAGUCGAUAGGGGACAAGAUUAUAACCAGCAGACACUGCACAAGGGGCCACAGCAGGAAACAGUGGCGGAGGUGGGGAGGGCGUGGUGCCCCAGAAAGGGACGAGGGAGCCCCAUCUUCUGAGCAAGCCACCCAGGGAGGGCGUCCCGCAGGCUGGGCGGGCGGUGCCAGCUUCCCGCCCGCUCUCAGGAGCCCUGCCCCCCGCCAGCUUACGCGUAGCCUCCGGCCCUGCCUUUCGGGCCCAGGCUCUCUGAGCACCUACUGUUUACAACAGAGCAGGGAAAGAAUGAGGCUCCUCCCAGAAUGGGCGCAGGGGCUGGGAAACCAGCAGGUGCUCUGGACAGAAAACUCAGCAGAAAAGAGAAUAUCUGGAAACAGCCCUCUGACCUACGUACCACAGAGCGGGAAUGUGUCGGCUUCCAGAAGCGUCUGGGGACAGAGCUUCCCGGGUUUCAGCACCACUCCCCACGGCCCCUGGGGAGGCACCGGGACUCCCAGAAGGGGAGAGAGCAGUAACCCCUCUUAUCCUCGAGCCUUUCUGUGCCUUUCCUCACUGUCAUUACCACAUCUGUGAACAUCUGGAUUCCAGAGAAACAGGGCACUGGAUUAGAUCUCUAGUAGCCAGGUUCUUAGGCAAAUUUUUCCCCUUUAAACGAAGUAAGUCUAUUAAUAUGAAAGACAACAUACAGCUCUGGACACAUGGCCUGUUGAGGCUAAAAGAGAUGAAGGUUUCUUCAUUUGGGAAAGGCUUUGGGGAGAUAUCUCGACUCUGGGAAAUAGAGCACAGCUAAUAUCUGGGAGGAAGGCUCUCGUGCUCCGACGUUUCGAACGCUGAUGGCUGUUGUGCGGUGUUUGUUGUGCUGUGUUGCGUUGUGUUGCUCACUUGCCUUUCUUUCUGGGAGGUUGUGCAUCUCCGAUCUUCUUCUUCCUUGGGAAUUUUUAGCAAGUAGCAAAUUCACAAGUAUGAAAUCCAUGGGUAAUGAGGGUUGACUGUAUACAUAUGUACACAUACAUGUAGUCUCAGGGUAUGUACAUGUGAGAUGGGCACCAAACAUAGGCUGCAUUGAAGUUGCCAACCGUGUAUUGUGCUACUUUCGUGUGCCCUGUUUGCUCCAAGCACUGGUACUGAAACACUGAGAGGCACAGAGUUGCUGCUCCUAGAGGGUUUAUUCUAAUGGGAGAGACUGAGUAAACUCAAGACAAGUGAACAAAUAGUUGCAGAUUAUGCUAAUUACUAGGAACAAAAUAAUCAGUUUACUCUUCCAAAGAAUAAGUACUCAGACAGGGUAGAUGAGAGAGAUGACAGCUGGCACCUGAAGAGCCAAAGGAAGCCCUUCGUAACGGCGUGAAGACGUCUGGGGAGGGGAGAAGGUGAGGUGGCUGGUGGCCUGGAGACCCGAAGUGGCUGGCGAGGCUGGCAGAGCCCCAGGCCUGGGGCGUGGUUAGUUCUGUGGACGAGAAUGGGGCUGGUGGGAGUGGUUAGUGGAAUUUUGACUCUUUCUGUAAUUGUGGAUUUUUAAUGAAAAGAUAUAGUCAUGUAGCAUAAUAUAAUAACAAAAAUUUAACUAACAAAAGCCAAGCGUAUCCAAGUUUCUUCAAGAGUGGCCUCCAGAGCCCUAAGAAACACCCACGACCAGAACUUGGAUGAAGAAGGAGAAAGCAUACAGAAGUCCGAGGAGCAGCUAAUGAAGCAGGAGAAAGCUCUGGAGAGUGCGGCGUCACAGAGCCAAGACAGACAGAAGGGAGUCCAGGCCAGAGAAUUCUUUUUUGAUUUGGCCUGACUACAUCCGUGGUGCCUUGACAAGAGCCCUUCGAUGUGUCAGAGUGCAGGAGGGCACGUGGAGGGAAGGAUCGCGGGCAGUGUUUGCAGAAAGUGUUUCGGGGACUUUGACUAUAAAGAGAAUCAGAGUAAUGGAACAGCAGCUGGAGGGGGGUUAGGAGGCCAGAGAGGUUCUCUUGUUUCUUUAUGUGGGAGACCCUAAAGCACAUCAGUUUACCAGUGAGGAUGACCAAGUCCUAAAGAAAGAUCAGUAAUUCACAACAGAGGAGGGUGUUAUAGGAGGAAAGAAGACCUAGACAAUGAGAAGGAAUGGGGUCAGAAAUUCCUGUGAAAUAACUGAUCUUUGUUAGGAGGAAAGACCUUCUCCAGUUGUAUCUGGAUGGAAUAAAGAGAGAAAGGUGCAGAUAGUAUAGACUUGGGAGGAGAGUACAAUGAUAGUAUAAUACAUCAGGGUGGCACAGUGGUUCCUGGUGGCACAGUGGUGGCACAGUGGUGACACAGUGGUUAGGAAUCUGCCUGCCAAUGCAGGGGACACGGGUUCGAGUCCUGGUCUGGGAAGAUCCCACAUGCCGCGGAGCAACUGAGCCCGUGCACCACAACUACUGAGCUGGUGCUCUAGAGCCUGCGAGCCACAACUACUGAGCCCACGUGCCACAACUACUGAGCCCACGUGCCACAACUACUGAAGCCCACGUGCCACAACUACUGAAGCCCGUGCGCCUAGAGCCCGUACUCCGCAACGAGAGAAGCCACCGCAAUGAGAAGCCCACGCACCACGACAAAGAGUAGCCCCUGCUCGCCACAACUAGAGAAAGCCCGCACGCAGCAACGAAGACCCAACG